rnacentral:ncRNA from 1 species
CGAAGUAGGAAUUUAUACGUUAAGUGUUCAUAGGCUGGGGAGUCGCCAUGAAACGAAAAGCUCGCAUACACGAACUGGCAGCUUGCGAUAUAUUUUCCGCACCCGUUG